CCCAAAAUGGUUAAUAUUUAUGCAUACGUCACUAUUCAUGUGAAUAGUACUAUUCAUCAAGUCAUGAAUACGUAUCUAUUCAUGUGUACAGUACAUCUGCCAGUACAGUUAUCAUCCAUGUGUACGGCACUAUGAACCAAUACGGUACUGUUACAUCAUUAAGGAACUCUAGGUCCUUAUUUACAUGUCAGGGAUCAAGGACCCUUAAGUCCAAUCACAUGUUUACAAAUACAGUACCGGAGAGACUGCCAGCUCUCAUAUUAAUAUCAUCAUCAAGGAUCUUCAAGUCCUGAUUGAUAAGGUCAUAAUUUCACACAUUUGCAUGCCUUCCUUGCUUAGUAAUUUUGUUUAGUUUCUCUUUAUUUUGAGUCUCUUACCUAUGUUUGUGUGUUUUGUAGGUUAGGACAGCAAAGGGGAUCACAUUUGAUGCAAUUCAUGCAUGUUAAGGGUUGAUUGGCACAAGAGGAAUAUGAGCUUAAUGACAGAACCAAUUUGGGCCACACUCCUUGUCAGUCCAAAUUCGUGGGUCAUCUUGCAGGCCUCAUUUCAGCAACCUACACUACUUUGAUGAGGAGACAUGCUUCCCAGAAGUUGUUCCAAUGGGUGUCUAGUAUAACAUAUCCAAAUUUCAGCCCAAUUAAUGAUAGCUAGAAUCCUUGGCCUGUCAAACACUGAACCAUGAUCUAGGAGGAUUUUAAUAUGUAGCUGCCAGCUGGUGAGCCUUGUGCUCCACACCUCCCUUGAGCCAUGUGCCUCACUUCAUCAUUGUUUGACUUUGGACCUGACAUGUUGAGCAAAUUAGGGAGGCAUUUCAGCUAUGGAAGUCAAAAAGGAGCAAAACAUGGCAUGCUUAAUUAUGGGGAUCUUGUCUGCACAAAUCAAGGACCAUUUUCCAGGAAUUCUGGUAGGCUACACAUGGGAGACAAAUCAGUAUGGGAAGUCAAAAAGAUGAACAAAAGUCAAGCUUUCCAUAAAGAAACCAAGAAAAGUCCACCAAAGCAUUUAUUGGGCAGCUGGAAAAGUUGGCAUUUAUUGGGCAGCUUAGGCAAUUGGGAGCAGCUAAGAGAGGUGUGUUUCACCAGCCAAAGGGGAGCACGAAAUUGCACUCUAUAAAUAGAGAGUUGCACACUCAUUCAAAGGGGGAGGGUAGACACACACAUUCAUUUCAUCCAUUACUCUCAUACACACAUUCAGAUUCACCACAAAGAGAGAAGGGAGCUUGGAGCUGUCCUGGGAACUUCCUUGCUGCCACCAUCUAGUUCUUCUCCUCUCUUUAUCCUAUCUAUGUAUUUCUUAUUUUCUGUAUUCAUAGUUAUGUCUAACUAAUCCAUUUAGUUAGGGCUUAGGAUGAAGCCCUAGUCAUGAAUAUUUAAUGUUAUGGAUGAUUUUAUGGUUAAUUGAUUUCCUUGCUUUUAUUAUCAAGUUGUUAACCUCCAGUUUAUUAUGUGCUUGAUGUAUGUUUUCUUGGAGUAGCUAACUAGGAUUUUAUGCAUCUAGCACAGGUUGGGAAGGG
rnacentral:lncRNA from 1 species